CUUCACGCCAUACAUUAUACCUGCAAAUCAGCUGCAAUGGUAUUCGGCAUUUUUAUCGUUGUCUGUUAUCUUCCUAAUCGACAAGCGAGGUUGGAAGAGUUUAUAUAAUACUGAGGAGUUUUAGAGGAAGAUCAAGAGUAGAACAUCACAAAGAUGUAUUGCACAUCAUUUACAGCUUGACAAAGGGACGAGGAUCAGGAGCUCUGGGUCAUACAAAGUGAUAUAUACACACUUUUCAACUUCAAAGAAGUAGGCAAGAAUGUGAACAGCAGAAAAAUGGUGGAAUAUCCUGAAGACAUUAAGUCAAUCUUCAAUUCCGGUUAAAAGAAGACAUCAACUAAGCCUUCUCAGUUCUCGGCCUCUCAAUGUCGGUCACAUUUGUUCAAUUUGACAGGAAUCGCUCAGGUGUCGACAAGAUAAAAGGACGACGACACACCUGGUUACGAAGUUCUAAAGAGCGGCAGCCGAAAAAAAAUGCCUUCUGAACAAAUGGUCGCAGCCGACAGCUGAAAUUAUGAUAUUAGGAUUGUUUAGGACUAUCAUUUGAAAACAAAAAAUGAGUUACAUAUUGGAUAUUAUGAAGGGCCCAUAAUAAGACUAUAACGUAUAGUAUUUAAAUUUUGUUGCAAUUUGAUAUUCGAAACUCUGUAUACUUCUUUAUAGAUAAAGAAAUUGUAUAUAUAUAUAUAACAUUCACUUUGAAAUUUCGUCACAAUACUAGCGUUUAUCG